rfam:Stegodyphus mimosarum contig39149, whole genome shotgun sequence.
GCCUUCGUGGUGUAAUGGUCAGAACACUCAGCUCUUAUUCGAGAAAUCCGUGGUUCGAGUCCCGCCGAAGGCA